rnacentral:lncRNA from 1 species
AAACUCAAUAAGCAACAACGAAAAUCAACAUGCAGAAUCACACAACACAAAACAAAAUCAAAACAAACAAACGUAUAAGCAAGAACAGAAAACAACUCUUCAUCUCACUUCCUCUCUGUCGCAUGAGUAUUGGUAGUAGUAGAGGUUGGAGCUGAAGAAACGUGUUCUUUGUUUCCUUCAUCAGUACCAAGCCCUAAAGUGUGCUUAACCGCAUCAGUAGCUCCCAUAGCCAUUUGCUUCACUUGCUCACCGGUUUGGCCCAAGAUCCCACCGGUCUUGUUCUUACCAGCUUCUGCAGUCUCCUUGGUAUAUUCUGCUGCAUCUUGUGCCUUGUUCUUAAUUGUUUCUCCUGUCUCUGACAUGUAGCUUCCCGUUUUGUCCUUGGACUCUUGAGCUUUCUGUUGAGUUGUUUGUGCGGCUUGAGAUGCCUUGUCUUUAGCUGCUUGAGCUGUUUCCUGGGUCUUUUGUUGGGCUGAUUGGGCUGCUCCUUGAGUUUUGUCCUUAGCUACAUCUGUCUUCUCCCCCAUCGUUCUCAUAGCUUCCCCUGUUUUCUCCUAAGAUUCGAUAUUGUAUUUAAAUGGGACAAACGUUAAUAAAGUAAUUAACUUACAUAUCUAAUCAGUCGAUACAAAAAUACGAAAUCAGAUAAAUACUUGCCUUUUAUAAUGAAGUUACACAUUAUAGUAAUAUCAUCAAAAAACCAAGCAAUAGAUUGUUUUAUCAAAUAACACGCUAUAUCGUAUAAUAGUGGCUUCACUCGUUGUUAUUUUUUUACCUAAUUAAGAACAUCAUUUUAUUUUAUCUAGAGUUUUUGCAAAAAUGUUUUAAACUAAAUCAUUUACGAAAUAUUUUAAUAUUGCAUAAGAAAUCAUUUAGUACCUGAGUCUUGCCUCUGGUCUCACCAGCUUUGAAACUCUGUUCUUGAUGAGAAGCCAUUUUCUCUCGUCGAAAAAUUCGAAACCAAAAUAUUUAGUGGAAACUCGAAAGGCUGAUUGAUGAUCAAAAGCUGUUAUCAGAACCUGUGUUGGAAGAUAUCUCCGACUCUUAUGUUUGAGACAUUUUAUAGCAAGUCUUGGUCGGCCCGAGAACAAGAUACAUGUUGCAGAUGUCUCGACACGUGUGAAGCCACGCGUCGCGAUUAGGUUAGCGAAACGAAGUUCGAAACUUGGAGUAAUGUGCGAGUGUUGAAUGUUAGGUUAUCUUGUUUUUGAUGACGACCUAUGUAGAGGUGCCACGCCAUAAUAAAAUAAUGUGUUACGGAAGAUGCUAGAUACGUGGCGAGUUACGUACAUGGAUUUUAUUUACUUAAUGCAUUACAAUAUUUAUACAAAGACUUAGGUUGUUAGACCAGCGCCGAUGGUGAAAAGUUUUUAGAAAUAUUUUAUCUAAUAUAAUAUUAUUAUUUUUAUGUAAUUUAAUUAAUUAGUUAAAUUUUAAAUUAUAAAAACAAAUUUCACCAAUAAAAUAAUGACACAUUUCACAAAAAAAUUUUAAAAUUUUAUUUAAAUCUUUAAAAAAGAAUUCAUUAUUUCUCAUCCUUUUUUAUUUUUUUAUUUUUUUAAUCAUAACAACAUCUUUAAGAAACUACCAUUAGGGUAGUUUUUUUAAUAAGAAAACAAAAACUUAUUUUUACGCUAAAAUUUGUUAUUCAGUCUCUGCUACUUUGUUAUUUGGAGACAAACUCUGUUUUAAACUAUUUUCAUUUUUCGGAUUCAGUGAUACUCAGAUCAAUAAGAAAAGUUAUAUGAGUGAAAAACAAAAUCUUGCUUUCCAUUUUAUUAUUCAAAAUAUUUUAUUAUUAUUAUUAUUAAAAAAAAGAAAAGUUCGGAUUACAAAAUGAAAUAAAACAACAUAAAAUUACUAGUAAAAUUUACCACGAAGCACGACUUAGACCAUCAUGCAAUAUGUAGAUUUGAAUUCAGAUACAGACACAUCAACGACACUAUUACAAACCUCUUGACUAUGUAUACAUGUUCUUAUCCGAUUAUAAUCAUCAAUGACUUUUUUUAAUGAGAAUUUGAUUAUGUAAAUUUUGAAUCAUCACUAAUAAUGUUAUUUCAUCAAUAAAUUUCUGUUUUAUUCUAUUUUCACCACCGUUUACAUCUAGUAGUUGAAUCUACCAAAAACAUUCACUUAACACGACGAAUCAAGACCUGAUCCAUUCAGGUCCAGACUUAAUCGGAACCGAAUUUAUAAACUAGGUGCAAUAAAACUGUCCAAGUUCGGAUAUGUCUUUAUCAAAUUUACCUUUGGAGUUCAGGAGAGUUUCUACUUUAUCCAGAUGUUCUUUAGAAAUGGUUCAACUGCACCAGUACACAACAGAUCAGACAUAUUUCUUGAUGCUUCCACUUUCCAUUUCCAGCACCAAAUAGAUUAAAUAGGAUCAUUGAAUUUACUCUUUUUGAUUUACAUGAACCAGCUUGCUUGGAGACAUUCUACACAGACCAAGUACUUCAAAGAAAACACAAAUUCAUGUCCAAAAUAUUUAGGUACAAGAAACUUCACAUUCUCCAUAUUUAACAAGACCGAUGUAUAAUGGUCAUUUUACUCAAUAAACUUCGAUUAAUUUCACAUUUAAAUUGUUUUUCAUUUAUUUUCUUUGUUUAAGCUUGUAAAAACGUAUCUAGGAGAACUAUAUAAUCUCGUAGGAUAUAAUCUCAAUCAUCAAUUCCCUUGUAAUAUUCAUGAAUCAUUUUAUUAAUAGUCAAUAAAUCAAUUUGUUUUUUUUUUUUGAAAAUGUAAAAUUUAUUCAUCAAAAAAUCUCUUUACAAAGAAUGCUUAUUUGGUUCUAAAAAAUUGAAAUCAAAACAACAUUAGAUUAGAAAUUUGUGCUAACUCGACUCUGAAACUUUAGCGGGUGGAGAAUCACCAAGUUAGACCAUCAUCGUAUCUGGUACCACUUGUCAUUCGGAUGGAAGAAACUCUGUUAUGCACUCCCUUGUCGAUAAAGUGAAUUAGCUGUAGAGGUGAUUGUGGUUGAUCACUAUGACCUCUUCCAUUUCGCUUGCGCCAAAUAGUGUGUACUGCCAGUUGGAAGACGUAUCUGAAUAGUAGAGGGGUUGAACUUAGCGUUGAGUCAGAGAGGAGAAGAACCAGACUAUCCCAAUCUGUGGAGAAGCUAUCGAUGAGUAGAUUGGACGCAAGAUUGGUCCAAAUCAAAUUGUUUUCUUUUUUAAAGCUUCGCCUUUCUGUUUUAUUCUCUAAUGUUCAUAAGUGCAAUUAUUUGAUCUUUUGUGUUUUUGUUAUUUAGAGUGUGUGUGAAUCAAACCACUUUUGGUCAUGGGAGGAAAGCCUUGAUCCAUGCGAGGAAAAUCUCUUAGAUCAACUCCUUUGUCCAUUGAUAUAUUUGGACCUGACACAAUCUUCAUCCAUCAAUAUAUCAACAUUAUCUUCAUCCAUCAAUAUAUAAUUUUAAAUCUUUAUGUGCUAUAAGUUUGGUGGCUUCUAAUCUUACAUCAAAUCUCGCAUAGGAGAAGAGAUCGAGCAAGUUUUACGACUUCUUUGCUUCUAACGAUAAAGAAGACAAAUGUACUUAGUGAUGACAGAAAAAGUUCCGAAAUGUAGAAGAAACUAUAUGGCUAUUAUCAUUUAAUCUUGAUGGUGAAGUUACUGUGCUUUGGAUACAAGUUACACAUGUAGAAAACAAUUUAGAACUCUUUAAUUUUUAAAUAAUUUGAAAAUAAAAGACCACAAUCUUUAAAAAAAUUCACCAUAAAUAAAUGAUGUUGGAAAAAACCAUUGAUAUAGAAAUCCAACAAAAAAAAUUUUAAGAAAGAAAAAUAUAGAUCAUAUAUUAUUAGAUUAUCAUUGAAAUCUAAAAAUUUAUAUUAAGAAAUAAAAAAAUGAACACACAGAUUUUUGUGACAUUUUAGAUGGAAAGUGUAUUAAAGUGUUUAGACAAAACUAAUAAAUUAGUAAUAAUAAGAUAAAAGUUAUAAAUUCAUUAAAACAUAUAUAUAUAUAUAGGGUAUUCUUGUGCAUCUAAUAUAAUAAGAUCUAUGGAUUGUGUUCCACCCAAUUAAGUUUUCUUUUUUUGCUGUAAUUUUUCAGUUUUGUGAAGUAAUUAACAAAUAAUAUUAAUUGUUUUAAAUAAUUAUGCCUCUGAUAAAGAUUUUGUAUUGAAAACAUUUUCCACCCAAUUAGUGAUAGUAAGAUUUCUAACUUAAUUUAGGGAUGUGGUCUAUUUUUUCCCUAAAAAGCAAAUAAGUAAAGACUUAUUUGUUGUAUAAAUAUACAGUGUCUUGCCUUACCUUCUCUUAUAUUUUCCAUCUCUCAAAGCUUCCGAGAUAAAUUAAAAAAUACAGUUGAAAAACAAGAAAUUCUUCUCGUCAAAAAUGGCAUCUGGUAUGUUUUUUCCUUGUUGUGAUUAUUCAUGCUUCUUCCAUAGUUAUCAAAAUUGCUCGACUAUUUACUCGUUACAUAUUUUCUGCGUGAAACUAAUUCGUAAAUUUACGUAUGAUAACCACAUAUAUAUACAGGGAGUAGAGUUAUGAACAACGUGUACAUUGUUGAGCCCAUAGGAGUUCAUAAAGCCACUAUAGUCUGGCUGCACGACAUCGGGCUCAAAGGCGUCGAGUAACACUCUCACUGUCUCCCAUGCUUUGUUUUGUAUUGUUUUAUUUGCUCUCUUUUUUUCCUAAAAUAUAUGCUCUUUUGUUUUCAAAACUCUCGAAUUUUGUACAUUUCCUCUCUAUUUUCUUUUCUUGUUAGAUAAUAAUAAGUUUGUUUCACUAAAGUUGUAUAUACAUUACAUAUUAUACACACUAUAUAUAUUUUAAUUAAUCUAUUAUGUAUGCAGCUCAGUUCAGCCUCUGCAAAGUUUGGGUCUUCCCAAUGUAAGGAUCCAUACAGAUACAUGUGUUUGCCAUGAAUUUAAUUUCUUUUUAUAUAUAGCCACAAUGGAAACUAUGAAUUUUCUAAUAAAAAUAUAUGAUUUGGCAUAGAUAAAAUGGAUUUGUCCGACUGCUCCUACACGCCGUGUUACUUCUUUGGGUGGCGAAGAAACCACUGCAUGUACGAUUAAUUGGCUAUAGAUAUACAUAUAUUAUUUUGUUUCUUCUAAAUCAGUAUUUGAUGUCUCUAAAAUAUUACUAAUUAAAAUGGAAAACUAAUAAUACAGUAUUCAUAAUCCUUUAUGGUGAAUCAGGGUGCGAUAUCACAAAAGUUUCAGAGAGCAUGCAUCAUGAUUUUGAAGCUUUAGAUAAUGUGAAUUCAUUUGUUGCUGGCCUUUUCUCUUCCGAACCAGAACAUGGUAAUUCGGAAUUAUCCACACUUAACAUGCAUAGUUUAGACUAUCUAUACAUCAAAUACAUAUAUAUGAUUAAAUAAUUAAUACUUUAAUGUUGAUUUUGGUAUAGUUAUUAAAGGUGUGGGAGGUGUCGGCUUGGGUGCAGCACAAGCUCUCUACUUUGCGAGUAACUAUGCCUUUGGACGAGUCACCAUAAACCUAAAAAUUGUUGUAGGGAUCAACGGUUGGCUUCCUAGCUGGACGUAAGCUCCUCAAGCCCUGAUGUAGUUUUCUCACAAUAUUUUAUUUAACUAUUCGUAUAUACCUUUUAAUAAUGGAAUACCAAAAUCGAUCAAUAAUCUUGUAGGACCUUACGAAACGAUAUGUAUUCUGCCUUUGGGACUUUUGUUCGUGCCGGAUCGCUAAUCUUACUUACAUAUGGGACUUGUAUGUCUUAUAAUAAGUUACAUUAUAUAUAUGUCUUCUUUACAAUUUAAGUUAGUAUUUAAAAAACGAGAUCAUGCUAUUUCUUGGUUUUUGUUGUUGUUGUUGUGUCACUUGCAGCUGAUGAUGUAGCUUUCUCAGCAUUUGCACGCAUCUGCGCUGACUCCCUUCACUUGGCUGGAUUUCCAAUCAUUCACAAACAAUGCGGAGGGUCUAUAUUCAUAAAUUACUUUAUUUAUUUCACUUAUUUAUUUUUUUUUAAUUAUUACCAUCUUUUAACAUAUUGUUCUUCUCUGAAUUAUGUCAUGUGCAGGGAUCAUGUCAUGAAUGAUCUUCGCGUAGCACUCCCGCAAUAUCUUAGGCUCUGAUGAGGAUAUUGCUAAACUCUGCAUCCUGAAAAGAAUAUGGAAUAAAAUUAUCGUAAAACUUUAGCUUUUAUUUUUAUUUCUUUGCUAUUCAUAAAUUAUAUAAUUGUUAAUGUAUUUUUUCAUUUUUAUCCUUCAAAAACUGAAGUUUAUUUUCAGUUUUCUGUUAUAUCAAUAUAUCAUAUGAAAAGGUUAUUAUAUUGUCAAUGGUACUAACAAAAGAGGAAGAUGUAAAAUUGGUGAAAUAACAUAUUGAUUUAAAAAAGUGGGUAAGUGGUAUAAAUAAAGACAUACAUACAGUGUUGUACUACCAAAAUAUCAAUUGUAACAUAUCCAAUUAAUUAACUAUCAAUUGAGAUUGUACAUACCUACCAUAUAUCGCUCUUUUCCCUCUCUUUUGAUGUGCCCUAUUCUCUCUUUGUCUGCGCCCUUUCUUCUCUAAUAUAUAUUGUCUAUUUAAUGGUGUACCAUACAAACUAUUUAUACUACGUUUAGAUAGAGUUUUAUUAUAUUUUCGUAACGCAUAAUUCCAUUCGAUAUACAUUUCUUAUAAUUGAUUUAAAGUAUGACAUGACAAUAUUUGUUAAAAUAUUUAGAACGUGUUGUAUCAAUGCAACAUAAGCUAAUAUUGUUGUGUUCACAUGUGUAUACUAAAUCAAAUUUAGAAUCACAUCAAAUACAAAUCUAUUCACCCGAUAAAACAUGUCUUUAUUAAACCAAACCAUCACAUAAUAGUGUACGUAUAAGCGCAUUUAAACAAUAAGCAUCAACAAAGAUCAACAUGCAGAACCACACAACACAAAACAAAAUCAAGACAAACAAACGUACAAAUCAAGAACAGAAAACAACUCUUCAUCUCACUUCCUCUAUGUCGCAUGAGUAGUGGUCGUAGUAGUAGAGGUUGGAGCUGAAGAAUCAUGUUCUUUGUUUCCUUCAUCUGUACCAAGCCCUAAAGUGUGCUUAACCGCAUCAGUAGCUCCCAUAGCCAUUUGCUUCACUUGCUCACCGGUUUGGCCCAAGAUCCCACCGGUCUUGUUCUUACCAGCUUCUGCAGUCUCCUUGGUAUAUUCUGCUGCAUCUUGUGCCUUGUUCUUAAUUGUUUCUCCUGUCUCUGACAUGUAGCUUCCCGUUUUGUCCUUGGACUCUUGAGCUUUCUGUUGAGUUGUUUGUGCGGCUUGAGAUGCCUUGUCUUUAGCUGCUUGAGCUGUUUCAUGGGUCUUUUGUUGGGCUGAUUGGGCUGCUCCUUGAGUUUUGUCCUUAGCUACAUCUGUCUUCUCCCCCAUCGCUCUCAUAGCUUGUCCUGUCUUCUCCUAUGAUUUGACAUUGGAUUUACAUUCAAGCAAAGGUUAAUAGAGUAAUUAACUUAAAUAUGUAAAUAGAUUGUGGCUAUUGUGUUAUUGUCACUCCUAUUCAACCUGUCUCUUUCUUAUUAUUUCAUCAUCUGAAUUCCAAAAAAAAAAAAAAAAUCAGCAUAGACACAUUGGUUGUCAACAAUCUUUUGUUGUUAUAUUAUCUAAUCAUGCAAAAAACAGACCUAUGCUUUUCUUUAUAUAAGAAAAGUUACUCAUGAGAAAACAUGUUUUCAGAAAUAUAAAGAACAGACUGUUUUAUCAAUUAAAGAACACGAUACGUCGUAAACUAGUGGCUUCAUUCAUUUUUCUUUGACCUAACUGACACCAUUUUUAUUUACUUUAUUAAUUGAAAAAAUAUUAUUGUAAUAUAGCAGGUGUAUCAUUUAGUAUACCUGAGUCUGGCCUCUGGUCUCACCAGCUUCGAAACCCUGUUCUUGAUGAGAAGCCAUUUUCUCUCGUCGAAUAAUUCGAAACCAAAAUAUUUAGUGGAAACUCGAAAGGCUGAUUGAUGAUCAAAAGCUGUUUAUCAGAACCUGUGUUGGAAGAUAUCUCCGACUCUUAUGUUUGAGACAUUUUAUAGCAAGUCUUGGUCGGCCCGAGAACAAGAGACAUGUUGCAGAUGUCUCGACACGUGUGAAGCCACGCGUCGCGAUUAGGUUAGCGAAACGAAGUUCGAAACUUGGAGUAAUGUGCGAGUGUUGAAUGUUAGGUUAUCUUGUUUUUGAUGACGACCUAUGUAGAGGUGCCACGCUAUAAUAAAAUAAUGUGUUACGGAAGAUGCUAGAUACGUGGCGAGUCACGUACAUGGAUUUUAUUUACUUAAUGCAUUACAAUAUUUAUACAAAGACUUAGGUAGUUACGUUCUUUAAUAAGAAAACAAAGACUUAUUAUUACGCUAAAAUUUGUUAUUCUAUCUGUUGCUCACCUCUGUUUUGGAGCUCAUGUAUUUCUAUUCAGUAAUCAGUCUCUGCUACUCUGUUAUUCGGAGACAAACUCCAUUUCAAAUUAUUUUCUUUUUUUGGGUUCAGUGAUAUUCAGAUGAAUAAGAAAUGUUAUAUAAGUGAAAAACAAAAAUUGCUUUCCAUUUUAUUAUCCAAAACAUUCCAUCAUUAUCAUUACCGAAAAAAAAGUUGGGAUUACAAUGUAAAACAAAACAACAUAAAAUUAUUAUAAUUUACUACGGAGUACGACUUAGACCAUCAUGCAAUAUGUAGAUUUGAAUUUAAAUUGAGAUACAUCAACGACAGUAUUACAAACCUCUCGACUAUGUAUAUAUGUUCUUAUCCGAUUAUAAUUAUCAAUGACUUUUUUUAAUGAGAAUUUGGUUAUGUAAAUUUUGAAUCAUCAUUAGUAAUAUCAUUUCAUCAAUAAAUUUCUGUUUUAUUAUAUUUUCACCACGGUUGUCAUCUAGUAGUUGAAUCUACGUAAAACAUUCAUUUAACACGGCGAACCAAUACCUGAUCUAUUCCGGUCCGGACUUAAUUGAAACCGAAUAUAUAAACCAAGUGUAAUAAAACUGUCCAAGUUCAUAUAUGUUUUUAUGUGGAUCAAUGCAAAUUUACAUUUGGAGUUUUGGAGAGUUUCUACUUUAUCCAGAUGUUCUUUAGAAAUGGUUCAACUGCACCAAUACACAACAAAUCAGGAAAAUUUCUUGAUGCUUCCACCUUCCAUAUCCGGCACCAAAUAGAUUAAAUAUGAUCAUUGAAUUUAUCUUUUUGAUUUACUUAACCAGCUUGCUAAUUGGAGACAUUCUACACAGACCAAAUACUUCAAAGAAAACACAAAUUAAUGUCCAAAAUACUUAGGUACAAGAAACUUCACGUUCUCCAUACUUAACAAGACCGAUGUAUAAUGGCCAUUUUACUCAAUAAACUUUGAUUGUUUUCCCAUUUAAAUUGUUUUAUUUAUUUAUUUUGUUUGUUUAAGCUUGUAAAAACGUAUAUAGGAGAACUAUAUAGUCUCGUAGGCUAUAAUCUCAAUCAUCAAUUCCCCUUGUAAUAUUCAUGAAUCAUUUUAUUAAUAGUUAAUAAAUCAUUUUUUUUAAGAAUGUAAAAUUUAUUCAUCAAAAAACGUCUUUACAAAGAAUACUUAUGUGGUUCUAAAAGAUUGAAAAAAUUGAAAUCAAAACAAUAUUAGAUUAGAAAUUUGUGUUAGCUCGACUCUGAAACUUCAAAUUAGAUUAGAAAUUUGUGUUAGCUCGACUCUGAAACUUCAGCGGAUGAAGAACCACCAAUGUUAGACCAUCAUUGUAUCUGGUACCACUCAUCAUUUGGAUGGAAGAAACUCUGUUUCACACUCCCUUGUCGAUAAAGCGAAUUAGCUGGAGAGGUGAUUGUGGUUGAUCACCAUGACCUCUUCCAUUUCGCUCACGCCAAAUAGUGUGUACUGCCAGUUGGAAGACAUAUCUGAAUAGGAAUAGAGGGGUUGAACUUAGCGUUGAGUCAGAGAGGAGAAAAACCAGACUAUCCCAAUCUGUGGAGAAGCUAUCGAUGAGUAGAUUGGACGCAAGAUUGGUCCAAAUCAAUUUGUUUUCUUUUUUAAAGCUUCGCCUUUCUGUUUUAUUCUCUAAAGUUCAUAAGUGAAAUAUUUGUUCUUUUGUGUUCUUGUUAUUUAGAGUGUAUGUGAAUCAAACCACUUUUGGUCAUGGGAGUAAAGCCUUGAUCCAUGCGAGGAAAAUCUCUUAGAUCAAGUCCUUUGUCCAUUCAUAUAUUUGGACCUUAAAGUGUAUUAUUUAUCAACAUUAACUUCAUCCAUCAAUAACUUUAAAUCUUUAUGUGCUAUAAGUUUGAUGGCUUCUAAUCUUACAUCAAAUCUCGCAUAGGAGAAGAUAUCGAGCAAACUUUAUGACUUCUUUGCUUCUAACGAUGAAGAAAACAAAUGUAUAUAGUGAUGACAGAAAAAGUUUCAAAAUUAAGAAGAAACUAUAUGGCUAUUAUCAUUUAAUAUUGAUGGUAAAGUUAUUGUGCUUUGGAUACCAGUUACACGUGUAGACGAUAAUUUAGAACUCUUUAAUUUUUAAAUAAUUUGCAAAUAAAAGACCACAAUAAAAAAAAUCACCAUAAAUAAAUGAUGUUAGAAAAAACCAUUAAUAUAGAAAUCCAACAAAAGUAUUUUUAAGAAAGAAAUAUAUAGAUUAUAUAUAUAUAUAUAUAUAUAUAUAUUAUUAGAUUAUCAUUGAAAUCUAAAAACUUUAUAUUAAGAAAGAAAAACUGAACACAGAUUUUUGUGACAUAUUAGAUGGAAAGUGUAUUAAAGUGUUUAGACAAAAUUAAUUAGUAAUAAUAAGAUAAAAGUUAUUAAUUCAUUAAAACAUAUUUGAUGAGGUGCUAAGUGUUUUCUUUUAUUUUAUAUAUAUAUGGUAUUCUUGUGCAUCUAAUAGAAUAAGAUCUAUGGAUUGUGUUCCACCCAAUUAAGUUUUAUUUUUUUGCUGUAAUUCGUCAGUUAUGUGAAAUAACUGACAAAUAUUAUUAAUUGUUUUAAAUAAAUUAUGCCUCUGAUAAAGAUUUUGUUUUGAAAACAUUUUCUACCCAAUUAGUGAUAGUAAGAUUUCUAACUUAAUUUAGGGAUGUGGCCUUUUUUUCCUAAAAAACAAAUAAGUAAAGACUCAUUUGUUGUAUAAAUAUACAAUGUCUUGCCUUACCUUCUCUUAUAUUUCCCAUCUCUCAAAGCUUCCGAGAUAAAUUAAAAAAUACAGUUGAAAAACAAGAAAUUCUUCUCGUCAAAAAUGGCAUCUGGUAUGUUUUUUCCUUGUUGUGAUUAUUCAUGCUUCUUCCAUUGUUAUCAAAAUUGCUCGACUAUUUACUCGUUACAUAUUUUCUGCGUGAAACUAAUUCGUAAAUUUACGUAUGAUAACCACAUAUAUAUACAGGGAGUAGAGUUAUGAACAACGUGUACAUUGUUGAGCCCAUAGGAGUUCAUAAAGCCACUAUAGUCUGGCUGCACGACAUCGGGCUCAAAGGCGUCGAGUAACACUCUCACUGUCUCCCAUGCUUUGUUUUGUAUUGUUUUAUAUGCUCUCUUUUUUUUCCUAAAAUAUAUGCUCUUUUGUUUUCAAAACUCUCGAAUUUUGUACAUUUCCUCUCUAUUUUCUUUUCUUGUUAGAUAAUAAUAAGUUUGUUUCACUAAAGUUGUAUAUACAUUACAUAUUAUACACACUAUAUAUAUUUUAAUUAAUCUAUUAUGUAUGCAGCUCAGUUCAGCCUCUGCAAAGUUUGGGUCUUCCCAAUGUAAGGAUCCAUACAGAUACAUGUGUUUGCCAUGAAUUUAAUUUCUUUUUAUAUAUAGCCACAAUGGAAAUUAUGAAUUUUCUAAUAAAAAUAUAUGAUUUGGCAUAGAUAAAAUGGAUUUGUCCGACUGCUCCUACACGCCGUGUUACUUCUUUGGGUGGAGAAGAAACCACUGCAUGUACGAUUAAUUGGCUAUAGAUAUACAUAUAUUAUUUUGUUUCUUCUAAAUCAGUAUUUGAUGUCUCUAAAAUAUUACUAAUUAAAAUGGAAAACUAAUAAUACAGUAUUCAUAAUCCUUUAUGGUGAAUCAGGGUGCGAUAUCACAAAAGUUUCAGAGAGCAUGCAUCAUGAUUUUGAAGCUUUAGAUAAUGUGAAUUCAUUUGUUGCUGGCCUUUUCUCUUCCGAACCAGAACAUGGUAAUUCGGAAUUAUCCACACUUAACAUGCAUAGUUUAGACUAUCUAUACAUCAAAUACAUAUAUAUGAUUAAAUAAUUAAUACUUUAAUGUUGAUUUUGGUAUAGUUAUUAAAGGUGUGGGAGGUGUCGGCUUGGGUGCAGCACAAGCUCUCUACUUUGCGAGUAACUAUGCCUUUGGACGAGUCACCAUAAACCUAAAAAUUGUUGUAGGGAUCAACGGUUGGCUUCCUAGCUGGACGUAAGCUCCUCAAGCCCUGAUGUAGUUUUUUCACAAUAUUUUAUUUAACUAUUCGUAUAUACCUUUUAAUAAUGGAAUACCAAAAUCGAUCAAUAAUCUUGUAGGACCUUACGAAACGAUAUGUAUUCUGCCUUUGGGACUUUUGUUCGUGCCGGAUCGCUAAUCUUACUUACAUAUGGGACUUGUAUGUCUUAUAAUAAGUUACAUUAUAUAUAUGUCUUUUUUACAAUUUAAGUUAGUAUUUAAAAAACAAGAUCAUGCUAUUUCUUGGUUUUUGUUGUUGUUGUUGUGUCACUUGCAGCUGAUGAUGUAGCUUUCUCAGCAUUUGCACGCAUCUGCGCUGACUCCCUUCACUUGGCUGGAUUUCCAAUCAUUCACAAACAAUGUGGAGGGUCUAUAUUCAUAAAUUACUUUAUUUACUUCAUUCAUUUAUUUUUUUUAAUUAUUACCAUCUUUUAACAUAUUGUUCGUCUCUGAAUUAUGUCAUGUGCAGGGAUCAUGUCAUGAAUGAUCUUCGCGUAGCACUCCCGCAAUAUCUUAGGCUCUGAUGAGGAUAUAGCUAAACUCUGCAUCCUGAAAAGAAUAUGGAAUAAAACUAUCGUAAAACUAUAGCUUUUAUUUUUAUUGCUUUGCUUUUCAUAAAUUAUAUACUUGUUAAUGUAUUUUUUUUCAUUUUUAUCCUUGAAAAACUGAAGUUUAUUAUCAGUUUUCUGUUAUAUCAUAUAUCAUAUCUAAAGGUUAUUAUAUUAUCAAUGGUGAACUAACAAAAGAGGAAGAAGGAAAAUUGGUGUAAUAACAUAUUGAUUUAAAAAAGGGGGUUAGUGGUAUAAUAUAGACAUACAUACAGUGUUGUACUACCAAAAUAUCAAUUGUAACAUAUCCAAUUAAUUAACUAUCAAUUGAGAUUGUACAUACCUACCGUCGCUCUUUACGCUCUCUUUUGAUGUGCCCUAUUCUCUCUUUGUGUGUCUGCGCCCUUUCUUCUCUAAUAUUGUUUAUUGAGAUUGUACGUAAUGGUGUGCCAUACAAACUAUUUAUACUAUUUUUAGAUAACUUUUUAUUAUUUUUCGUAACGCAUAAUUCCAUUCAAUAUACAUUUCUUAUAAAUGAUUUAUGUAUGACAUGACAAUAUUUGUUAAAAUAUUUAGAACGUGUUGUAUGAAUACAACAUAAGCUAAUAUUGUUGUGUUCACAUGUGUAUACUAAUCAAAUUCAGAAUCACAACAAAUGUAAUUCUAUUCACCGGAUAAAACAAGUCUUCAAUUAACCAAACCAUUACAUAACAAUGUACGUAUAAACGGAUUUAAACCCAAUAAGCAACAACGAAAAUCAACAUGCAGAAUCACACAACACAAAACAAAAUAAAAUAAAAAUAAACGUAUAAGCAAGAACAGAAAAUAACUCUUCAUCUCACUUCCUCUCUGUCGCAUGAGUAUUGGUAGUAGUAGAGGUUGGAGCUGAAGAAACGUGUUCUUUGUUUCCUUCAUCAGUACCAAGCCCUAAAGUGUGCUUAACCGCAUCAGUAGCUCCCAUAGCCAUUUGCUUCACUUGCUCACCGGUUUGGCCAAAGAUCCCACCGGUCUUGUUCU